CAGCCGCCACGGUAAUACGAGGGGGGCAAGCGUUGCUCGGAAUGACUGGGCGUAAAGGGCGCGUAGGCGGCGAUCAAAGUCAGGCGUGAAAUUCCUGGGCUCAACCUGGGGGCUGCGCUUGAUACUUGGUUGCUUGAGUGGGGAAGAGGGUCGUGGAAUUCCCAGUGUAGAGGUGAAAUUCGUAGAUAUUGGGAAGAACACCGGUGGCGAAGGCGGCGACCUGGUCCUUUACUGACGCUGAGGCGCGAAAGCGUGGGGAGCAAACAGGAUUAGAUACCCGCGUAGUCCCUGUCUCUUAUAC
rnacentral:rRNA from 1 species